GGGAGAAAGUGGGUCUACAAAGAGGUGAAAAGAGGGUAUUUACUAAAACUACCCCUUUUUCUAUCCACAG
rnacentral:miRNA from 1 species